UUCUCAUCAGCUCUAUUCGUGUGCUUUUGUGCUCUCUGCAGGUAUACAGGUGUCAUCUAAGGAUGAGAUAUUACCCUUGUCCUUUGUUUCUCAGUAUGUUUCAGAGAGCGAUCUUUUAAUUUCUACUGGUAUUCUUCCUAUUUGCGUUCUCUCUCUCAAGGGUGUCUCUGCUCAAGCUAUAGCUUUUGCUUUCCACUGUGAAAUUGUCUAUUAUUUGUGAAGCAUUUUAGGGUGUGGAUUAACAAUGAAUACAACUCAUGAGCAGUAUACAAGAUACUGUUAAUGAACACAACUCAUGAGCAGUAUACACGGCAAGGAGUACAACUCCAAUAGGCUCUCUUAUGAGUGUUCCUUUUCCAGGAAGAGAUCAUACCAAUUGGCAAUAUCCAGAAGCAACCUCCGGUAAGAACAAUAAAAAUUUAUAUGUAAGAACAAUAAAAUUUAUAUGUAUUCCUCUGAAUUUUUAAUUGCUAGAAGCUGAACUCGCACUACCAAAUGAGAACUAGCAGUUCUGCUUCUUAGCCUGUUCAGAUUGCAAGCAGAUCUUUACAAGAACUACUACAUGGAGAUAAUUUUACGGCACUAAAUGUCAUGGAUCCACCCAGCUUAUAGUACCCAAGUAUAAUGCUACAAGAUUCUUCGACACAACUGUUUCCAGUUUAAUACUAUCUAUUUUUCACCAUCUAACUUAGCAUUACAGAUAAACAAAAUCAGUAAUAGUUUACC